UAGGGAAUCUUCCGCAAGGACGCAAGUCUGACGGAGCAACGCCGCGUGAGUGAAGAAGGAUUUCGGUUCGUAAAACUCUGUUGUUAGAGAAGAACAGCGCAUAGAGUAACUGUUAUGCGUGUGACGGUAUCUAACCAGAAAGCCACGGCUAACUACGUGCCAGCAGCCGCGGUAAUACGUAGGUGGCAAGCGUUGUCCGGAUUUAUUGGGCGUAAAGCGAGCGCAGGCGGUCAAUUAAGUCUGAUGUGAAAGCCCCCGGCUCAACCGGGGAGGGUCAUUGGAAACUGGUUGACUUGAGUGCAGAAGAGGAGAGUGGAAUUCCAUGUGUAGCGGUGAAAUGCGUAGAUAUAUGGAGGAACACCAGUGGCGAAGGCGACUCUCUGGUCUGUAACUGACGCUGAGGUUCGAAAGCGUGGGUAGCAAACAGG
rnacentral:rRNA from 1 species